rnacentral:rRNA from 1 species
UACGUAGGGGGCGAGCGUUGUCCGGAUUUAUUGGGCGUAAAGAGCUCGUAGGUGGCGUGUCGCGUCUGCCGUGAAAGCCCAUGGCUUAACUGUGGGUCUGCGGUGGAUACGGGCAGGCUGGAGGCUGGUAGGGGCAAGCGGAAUUCCUGGUGUAGCGGUGAAAUGCGCAGAUAUCAGGAGGAACACCGGUGGCGAAGGCGGCUUGCUGGGCCAGUUCUGACGCUGAGGAGCGAAAGCGUGGGGAGCGAACAGG